rnacentral:lncRNA from 1 species
UAAACAAAAUCUCUUUCCUUCUUACAUUUAAAGGUCUUUUAUCUUUAAAUUGUUCUCCUACAAAAAUACAACCAGCAUUAGCCUUGGCCACCAAUACAUAACCACCAGCCACCACGAUGCAAUUAUCACCGCCAGUCCAUCUUCAUUAACUAACCACCGCCAGCCUACCUUACAACCAUCAUCAUAGAUGGCCACUAGUGGAACUACCACUCAUGUCACUACUAGAACGAAUUUCCAACACUUAAUUUUUGACGAGAAUCGUUGGUAAAUGCUAAAAGAAAAAAAGGGCAUAUGUAUCGAUCGGAAAAGCAUUGGCGUUAAAUUCCAAAAAUAAUUUACCGCCACAUUCUCUGUCCGAUAGGCGUAGGAAAUAUCAAAAUAAAGAAAUUACUUUUUAUAUAAUGACUUCCUGACGUGUUUCCCUUAGAAACAUUAAGUACAAAUAAUUAUAGAUUAUUAAAUUUCCAACAAUUGUCCGCUAGAUGGUAUUUUAGCCAAAGGCAGAGUUAAUAACCAAUUUUAUGAUUCUGAAUUCUAAAAUGAAGGCUUCAAGUACUAAGCUAGCGUUUGGCCAUAGAUCUCAAAUUUAUUUUGAAAAUUUUGAUUCGGGUGAAGUUUGGUUUGAAGAUGAAAAUAUAUUUGGACAUACGUUUUCAAAAUAUAUUUUCUAAUUUUAUUUUGGAAAAACAUGUAUAUAAUUCCCAUGUUUUGGGAUUUUGGCCCAAAUUCAACUCAAUAGGGAUUUGGCUAAAAUAUGGGCAAAAUUUAUGGGCAAACAUGAAUUUUGAAAAUAAAUCUUAAAUUUAUUUUGGCAAAACUUAUGGCUAAGGCUGUGUUGAGUAACGGUUCCGAACCGGAACCGCGGUUCUACAUGAUAUAGCAGUCGGUGAUAGAAUAGAUGAUGAUAUUAUGAGUUU